UUCGUAGGUGGUGCGGCAAGUUGGAAGUGAAAUCUCUGGGCUUAACCCAGAGGCCGCUUUCAAAACUGCCGCGCUCGAGUGCGAGAGAGGUCAGUGGAAUUGCAGGUGUAGCGGUGAAAUGCGUAGAUAUCUGCAGGAACACCCGUGGCGAAGGCGGCUGACUGGAUCGCAACUGACACUGAGGAACGAAAGCUAGGGAGCAAACA
rnacentral:rRNA from 1 species